rnacentral:snoRNA from 1 species
CCACUCUCAGGCUUGCACCUGGAGAGUUUCCAGUAUUCUACCAGUCUCGGCUAUGGGAGAGAGAGUCAAGCAGAGGACUACCCAUUCCAUUCUUGCUUGGGCAGUGGCCAUCGAGUGGAAGGCAAUCUGCUACAAGU